UACGAAGGGGGCGAGCGUUGUUCGGAAUUACUGGGCGUAAAGGGCGCGUAGGCGGCGACUCUAGUCAGAUGUGAAAGUCCUGGGCUUAACCUGGGGACUGCAUUUGAUACUGGGUUGCUUGAAUUCGGGAGAGGAUAGCGGAAUUCCCGGUGUAGAGGUGAAAUUCGUAGAUAUUGGGAAGAACACCGGUGGCGAAGGCGGCUAUCUGGACCGACAUUGACGCUGAGGCGCGAAAGCGUGGGGAGCAAACAGG
rnacentral:rRNA from 1 species